UAGGGAAUCUUCCGCAAUGGACGCAAGUCUGACGGAGCAACGCCGCGUGAGUGAAGAAGGAUUUCGGUUCGUAAAACUCUGUUGUUAGAGAAGAACAGCGCAUAGAGUAACUGUUAUGCGUGUGACGGUAUCUAACCAGAAAGCCACGGCUAACUACGUGCCAGCAGCCGCGGUAAUACGUAGGUGGCAAGCGUUGUCCGGAUUUAUUGGGCGUAAAGCGAGCGCAGGCGGUCAAUUAAGUCUGAUGUGAAAGCCCCCGGCUCAACCGGGGAGGGUCAUUAGAAACUGGUUGACUUGAAUGCAGAAGAGGAGAGUGGAAUUCCAUGUGUAGCGGUGAAAUGCGUAGAUAUAUGGGGGAACACCAGUGGCGAAGGCGACUCUCUGGUCUGUAUCUGACGCUGAGGCUCGAAAGCGUGGGUAGCAAACAGG
rnacentral:rRNA from 1 species